GCCCUGAGAAGUGCUGCUCUGGGAGCAUUCACUAUUUUCACCCUAUACUGUUAGUUUGUUUCCCUGCUUUCUCGUGUCCUGUUUUGGCAGAAUCAUCAUAGUAAUACAAUAUUUGCUUUUGAAGGUUCCUCUGUCCUGGGCUUCGUCAUAAACAUUGACACGUUGAUGUCUAUGGUUCCUGUGAUGCUUGAAGGACAGCGAUAUGUCCUGACCUACAGAUUCAGCCAGGACCAUUUGGAACUUCUCUUUAACUCCAUCAGAGCAUCCGAUAGGUGGCUGGAAUAACAACCCUAAUGCCGGCCAGUUCAAAUACAUCUUCAGAAAGCUGAUGGCCCAGUGUGGAGUUGUUAAACCAUGCAGAGGCAAUGUGACUGCACAGGAUGAGACAGAGUCCCUAUCAGCGGUCAUCGACGCCUCUACAAGCCUGUCAGCUGGAGAUAUGUCCUCUCUAGCAGGAGGAGAAGAUCUUCCAUCCCCGUUUGCUGACAUUACCUUCCCGUCCGCUACGAUGGUCUUGUGGACAACGCUCUCGUGUACAUUUCAGACGGGCUCUGAAGAAGCUGUCCUGUGAUGCCUGCCGUGCCAGCCUGGUGACACGACGCUGCCUCCGCCAUCAAGGACCAGAGCUCCCACCUGCUGUGUCUAAGAAACAAUGGAGGCCGAAGGAUGUGUUGGUGCUCCGGGAGCACAUCGGCGACACGCAGCAUGGCAUAGACAGCCACCACCAUAUGCUGCUAACACUAGUUGUGUCCUUGUUUUUUAAGCUAAGGCUACACCACAUCUCUCAAAUGACUACACUAAGCUUAGAGCAACAACAUGCGACAGAAGCUCAAGAAAACAGUCCUUUUCAAAGGGCAUUAGCCCAAUGUUACGACCCUGGUGGGUCUCUCUGUGGGCCCGCCCAUUUUUGCUGCCUCUCUCUCGUUUGUUACUGUAUAUUGUAUAUAGUUCUCUGCAAACCUAUGGUGGCAUCAUGCCUUC